AGUGAACGCUGGCGGUAUGCCUAACACAUGCAAGUCGAACGGCAGCACAGUAAGAGCUUGCUCUUACGGGUGGCGAGUGGCGUACGGGUGAGGAAUACAUCGGAAUCUACUUUUUCGUGGGGGAUAACGUAGGUAAACUUACCCUAAUAUCGCAUACGACCAUCUUGUUUAAGCAGUGGAUCUUCGUACCUUGCUCGAUUGAAUGCGCCGAUGUCGGGUUAGCUAGUUGGUGGGGUAAAGGCCCACCAAGGCGACGAUCCGUAGCUGGUCUGAGAGGAUGAUCAGCAACACUGGAACUGAGACACGGUCAAGACUCCUACGGAAGGCAGAAGAGGGGAAUAUUGGAAAAUGGGCGAAAGCCUGAUCAAGAAAGACCGCGUGGGGGAAGAAGGCCUUCGGGUUGUAAAGCCCUUUUGUUGGGAAAGAAAAGCGGCAGGUUAAUACCCCGAUGUUGUGACGGUACCCAAAGAAUAAGCAACGGCUAACUACGUG
rnacentral:rRNA from 1 species